rnacentral:rRNA from 1 species
AUACGUAGGGGGCGAGCGUUGUCCGGAAUGAUUGGGCGUAAAGGGCGCGUAGGCGGCGCGGUAAGUCUGGAGUGAAAGUCCUGCUUUCAAGGUGGGAAUUGCUUUGGAUACUGCCGCGCUUGAGUGCAGGAGAGGUUAUCGGAAUUCCCGGUGUAGCGGUGAAAUGCGUAGAGAUCGGGAGGAACACCAGUGGCGAAGGCGGGUAACUGGACUGCAACUGACGCUGAGGCGCGAAAGUGUGGGGAGCAAACAGGAUUAGAUACCCUGGUAGUCCGCGCGGUAAACGAUGAAUGCCAGGUGUUGCGGGUAUCGACCCCUGCAGUGCCGGAGUAAACACAAUAAGCAUUCCGCCUGGGGAUUUCGGCCGCAAGGUUGAGACUCAAAUGAAUUGACGGGG